rnacentral:rRNA from 1 species
CUUGGUCACGAGAGCAUGACGGGUACGGGGCAUUAGGGUUCGAUUCCGGAGAGGGAGCCUGAGAAACGGCUACCACAUCUAAGGAAGGCAGCAGGCGCGCAAAUUACCCAAUCCUAAUACAGGGAGGUAGUGACAAGAAAUAACAAUACAGGACUUUUUGGUUUUGUAAUUGGAAUGAGUUAAGUAUAAACCCCUUUACAAGUAUCAAUUGGAGGGCAAGUCUGGUGCCAGCAGCCGCGGUAAUUCCAGCUCCAAUAGCGUAUAUUAAAGUUGUUGCAGUUAAAAAGCUCGUAGUUGGAUUUCUGUUAAUAAUUUAUAUAAAAUAUUUUGAUGAAUAUUUAUAUAAUAUUAACAUAAUUCAUAUUACUAUAUAUUUUAGUAUAUGAAAUUUUACUUUGAGAAAAUUAGAGUGCUUAAAGCAGGCAUAUGCCUUGAAUACUCCAGCAUGGAAUAAUAUUAAAGAUUUUUAUCUUUCUUAUUGGUUCUAAGAUAAGAAUAAUGAUUAAUAGGGACAGUUGGGGGCAUUUGUAUUUAACAGUCAGAGUGAAGU